UGGGGAAUAUUGCACAAUGGGCGCAAGCCUGAUGCAGCCAUGCCGCGUGUAUGAAGAAGGCCUUCGGGUUGUAAAGUACUUUCAGUCGGGAGGAAGGUGGUAAGGUUAAUAACCUUAUCAAUUGACGUUACCGACAGAAGAAGCACCGGCUAACUACGUGCCAGCAGCCGCGGUAAUACGUAGGUGGCAAGCGUUGUCCGGAUUUAUUGGGCGUAAAGCGAGCGCAGGCGGUUUCUUAAGUCUGAUGUGAAAGCCCCCGGCUCAACCGGGGAGGGUCAUUGGAAACUGGGAGACUUGAGUGCAGAAGAGGAGAGUGGAAUUCCAUGUGUAGCGGUGAAAUGCGUAGAUAUAUGGAGGAACACCAGUGGCGAAGGCGGCUCUCUGAUCUGUAACUGACGCUGAGGCUCGAAAGCGUGGGGAGCAAACAGG
rnacentral:rRNA from 1 species